rnacentral:rRNA from 2 species
CCUUCCGGGGAGCAGCAGUAGGGAAUCUUCCACAAUGGGCGCAAGCCUGAUGGAGCAACACCGCGUGAGUGAAGAAGGGUUUCGGCUCGUAAAGCUCUGUUGUUGGAGAAGAACGUGCGUGAGAGUAACUGUUCACGCAGUGACGGUAUCCAACCAGAAAGUCACGGCUAACUACGUGCCAGCAGCCGCGGUAAUACGUAGGUGGCAAGCGUUAUCCGGAUUUAUUGGGCGUAAAGCGAGCGCAGGCGGUUGCUUAGGUCUGAUGUGAAAGCCUUCGGCUUAACCGAAGAAGGGCAUCGGAAACCGGGCGACUUGAGUGCAGAAGAGGACAGUGGAACUCCAUGUGUAGCGGUGGAAUGCGUAGAUAUAUGGAAGAACACCAGUGGCGAAGGCGGCUGUCUGGUCUGCAACUGACGCUGAGGCUCGAAAGCAUGGGUAGCGAACAGGAUUAGAUACCCUGGUAGUCCAUGCCGUAAACGAUGAGUGCUAGGUGUUGGAGGGUUUCCGCCCUUCAGUGCCGGAGCUAACGCAUUAAGCACUCCGCCUGGAGUCACCAA